GUGGAGAUGUUCAUCAAUCUUUAUUCUAAAAAUAUGUAUUUUAUUUUCAUUUCUUAAUUUCGUAAAUAGUUACAGAACCGCUGCAAAGUAAAAAGUUAAAAGCUUGAUGUAGUUACCUGAACUGAAACGUGUAAGGAAGCUUGGAGUUAACACUCAUGGGCGGCACAUAGUUGAAGAGGGAAAGCAUUGGAUGCUCUGCAGAUUUUGGACCCCAUGAAAUACACCAAACAAGAUAUGAGCAUCAAAGCAGCAGGAAUUCCCAACCCUAUUGCCCAGCUCACAUUUGACUGUACAUAAACAAUCAGUGUCAAAGACACCAUCUGGGCAAAAGUGAAGGUAAAAAAGUACCAAUUGAAGAAACUGUUGAUUCCUUUUUUUCCUGAAUCUGUAUUGGGAUUGAACUGAUCAGCUCCAAAUGCCAAGUUACAUGGUCUGACUCCUGCAGCACCAAUCAGCAGCAAACCAAAUCCAGACACUAGAAAAGCCAUUUGCCCUGCAGUUGGUCCUAUGCAUGUUUUCAUCUCCUUUCCACAGUGAGGUGGAUGCAGAUUUUUAAAUACUGCUGUAAGUUGUAUCAGUAGCAAUCCCUGUUUGUAUGCAGGGAAAAUAAUUACAACUUUACAAGGCUCAAAUUUUUGUAUCACUUGGCUUAAGGCUGAAGCUGAAUGAUGUCUAUUAAAUUAUAAUUAUAUUUUUCAUCAA